rnacentral:lncRNA from 1 species
ACAAACAAGAAAACUGGACAGCCUAUGAUUAAUUUGUACACAGACAGGGAAACUGGCAAGUUGAAGGGUGAGGCAACAGUUUCAUUUGAUGACCCACCUUCUGCUAAAGCAGCUAUCGACUGGUUUGAUGGUAUGUAUUAAAACUAGGGUGGGCUGUGGGUUAGGGAAGCAGGUUCCAUUUUGUUUGUUUGUUUUUUUUUUUUUAUUGUGUAUGGAAAGAUGUUUGAUGUUCAGACAAUGACUUACAGGUAACAGUUCUUUUAAGUGGUUCAUAGGGAUGGAACUUGAGUGGUCAGGCUUGUCAUCAAGCACCUUUACCUGUUGAGCCAUCUUGGUGUGGUUUCAUUUUUGUUCGUGUCCCAUUAGUAUUCUAUACAUCUUUCCAAGAAGACAGUCUUAGAUCUUUUGGAUCUAAGUGUUUUGGAUCUGCAGGUCUCAGCAUUUAUUGUGUACAUGGGUGCGCAUGUGCAUGCCAUGGCAUAAGUAGCAAACCAUCUGGGGUAAUUCCUUUUACCAUAUGGGCUCAUAGGAUUGAACAUGGGUCAUCAGGCUUGGUGGCACUCAUACCAAGUUAUCUUGCUUUUUUGUAUGGUGCUGGAGUUCUAAAUCAGACCCUUUCAUAUUAUACUGCUUUUACAGCCCUGUCUCCCCACCCCGUCUUUUGAGACAGGGUUUCUCUGUGUAGCCUUGACUGGUCUCAAACUAGAGAUCUGCCUCUUGAGUACUAGGAUUGAAGGCAUGUGCCACCACUGACCAGCCCCAAAACCUUUAUAGCUACUUGUAAAAUUCUUACUUUUAAAAGUUAAAUUAGCCCCUUAAUUAGCACCAUCUUGGGGCCUCAUGAAAGGACUCUGCUCUGGAGUCAGCUCCACCACACCACAGAUGUGGACCCUUCUCAAGUGGCACGCAGCCCAAUUCUGAGCCUGUCUCCUUGUUUGUGAAAUAGAAACAGGAGUAUCCCAUUUGGGUUCUUGUGAAUGGCACAUGUUAUAAAAUAUGGCAAUCACUCAGCCCUGAACCUCAUACAGCAUUAGCGCAGCAAAUCAGAAUUCUCUCAUUUACUCUCCCCAAACACAUGGGCUCACCCCCUUCCUCUAAUUUCCUCCCCAAUCCAAUUCAAGUAAAUUUGCUGUUGCGGGAGAGGGAGUGGGACACCACUGUGUAAGGAGUCUAGGAAUGGGGAAUUUUCCUGGAAACUGGGAGAAGAUUCCUUGAUGCAGAGGCGGCUAGGAGGAACAUGAGCUAACCAGUACCCCCAGAGCUCCCUGAGACUAAACCACCAAUCAAAGAAAACACACGGAGAGACUCAUGCCUCCAGCUGCAUAUGUAGCUGAGGAUGGCCUAGUCAGUCAUCAAUGGGAGGAGAGGCUCUUGAUCCUGUGAAGGUUCUAUGCCCCAGUAUAGGCGAAUGCCUGGGCCAGGAAGCGGGAGUGGGUGGGUUUUUGGGGAGGCAGAGGGGCUAGGGCAUUUUCGGAGGGGAAACUAGGAAAGGGGAUAACAUUUGAAAUGUAAAU